UUUAUGGAGAGUUUGAUCCUGGCUCAGAGUGAACGCUGGCGGCGUGCCUAAUACAUGCAAGUCGAACGAUGAAGCUUCUAGCUUGCUAGAAUGCUGAUUAGUGGCGCACGGGUGAGUAACGCAUAGGUCAUGUGCCUCUUAGUUUGGGAUAGCCAUUGGAAACGAUGAUUAAUACCAGAUACUCCCUACGGGGGAAAGAUUUAUCGCUAAGAGAUCAGCCUAUGUCCUAUCAGCUUGUUGGUAAGGUAAUGGCUUACCAAGGCUAUGACGGGUAUCCGGCCUGAGAGGGUGAACGGACACACUGGAACUGAGACACGGUCCAGACUCCUACGGGAGGCAGCAGUAGGGAAUAUUGCUCAAUGGGGGAAACCCUGAAGCAGCAACGCCGCGUGGAGGAUGAAGGUUUUAGGAUUGUAAACUCCUUUUGUUAGAGAAGAUAAUGACGGUAUCUAACGAAUAAGCACCGGCUAACUCCGUGCCAGCAGCCGCGGUAAUACGGAGGGUGCAAGCGUUACUCGGAAUCACUGGGCGUAAAGAGCGCGUAGGCGGGAUAGUCAGUCAGGUGUGAAAUCCUAUGGCUUAACCAUAGAACUGCAUUUGAAACUACUAUUCUAGAGUGUGGGAGAGGUAGGUGGAAUUCUUGGUGUAGGGGUAAAAUCCGUAGAGAUCAAGAGGAAUACUCAUUGCGAAGGCGACCUGCUGGAACAUCACUGACGCUGAUUGCGCGAAAGCGUGGGGAGCAAACAGGAUUAGAUACCCUGGUAGUCCACGCCCUAAACGAUGGAUGCUAGUUGUUGGAGGGCUUAGUCUCUCCAGUAAUGCAGCUAACGCAUUAAGCAUCCCGCCUGGGGAGUACGGUCGCAAGAUUAAAACUCAAAGGAAUAGACGGGGACCCGCACAAGCGGUGGAGCAUGUGGUUUAAUUCGAAGAUACACGAAGAACCUUACCUAGGCUUGACAUUGAGAGAAUCCGCUAGAAAUAGUGGAGUGUCUGGCUUGCUAGACCUUGAAAACAGGUGCUGCACGGCUGUCGUCAGCUCGUGUCGUGAGAUGUUGGGUUAAGUCCCGCAACGAGCGCAACCCCCUUUCUUAGUUGCUAACAGGUCAUGCUGAGAACUCUAAGGAUACUGCCUCCGUAAGGAGGAGGAAGGUGGGGACGACGUCAAGUCAUCAUGGCCCUUACGCCUAGGGCUACACACGUGCUACAAUGGGGUGCACAAAGAGAAGCAAUACUGCGAAGUGGAGCCAAUCUUCAAAACACCUCUCAGUUCGGAUUGUAGGCUGCAACUCGCCUGCAUGAAGCUGGAAUCGCUAGUAAUCGCAAAUCAGCCAUGUUGCGGUGAAUACGUUCCCGGGUCUUGUACUCACCGCCCGUCACACCAUGGGAGUUGUGUUUGCCUUAAGUCAGGAUGCUAAAUUGGCUACUGCCCACGGCACACACAGCGACUGGGGUGAAGUCGUAACAAGGUAACCGUAGGUGAACCUGCGGUUGGAUCACCUCCUUUCUAGA
rnacentral:rRNA from 1 species